rnacentral:rRNA from 1 species
AUGCUUGUUGAAACAAAGAAGCAUGUUCUUUAUAAUUUGCUCUACUUACUCAUCAAAUUGAUAUUGGUCUUAUCGGUGGCGACGACGAGUUUUGAAAGAAUAUUUUCAGCAUUAAAUCUAGUGAAAAGUAAUUUGAGGAAGUAUGAGUGA